UACGUAGGGUGCAAGCGUUUGUCCGGAAUUAUUGGGCGUAAAGAGCUCGUAGGCGGUGUGUCGCGUCGGCCGUGAAAACCUGCAGCUUAACUGUGGGCUUGCGGUCGAUACGGGCAUCACUGGAGUUCGGCAGGGGAGACUGGAAUUCCUGGUGUAGCGGUGAAAUGCGCAGAUAUCAGGAGGAACACCGGUGGCGAAGGCGGGUCUCUGGGCCGAUACUGACGCUGAGGAGCGAAAGCAUGGGGAGCGAACAGG
rnacentral:rRNA from 1 species